CACUUGUUUCCAUUUGGUAGCCUAGGGAUAAUGAGGCUUGCUUCUUUAUAAACCCUGUAAGGACUACUAGUAAUAAUUUAAAAAAAUAGGUGCUAUGGUACUAAGACAGGUCAAGGCUGAAAGCAACUUAAAAGACUAGCAAGGAUCUAUAUUGACUAUCUAAGUGUGGUGAAUUGGCAGGCUACUCAGAGCAGAGAAAGCAGGCAUGGUGCAGAUAUGUUAAAUGAGCUGAUAAGUGGGUAUCACUCAAAGAUAGAAAUGAAAUAAAUUUCUCCUUUUUAUAGAAAAACAGAUACUUAGAAUAAUUUGGGCUGAUGCUCAAAAGUCAUGGUUUCUUAAAAUAUCUAGCCUUUGACUUAGUACAAUGUACCCAGUAAAGCUUCUACAUUGGGAAAAGGUUUGAAAAGGAAGGUGGGAGGAGAGCAAGUUUCUGGAGUAUUAAUGACUGUGCCAUUUGCCUCUAUACUUAGGGAAGAAAGUGAUCGUGGUUAGAAAAAAAAUCAGUAAAUUGAUUCAUGCAUUCCCUGUAUUACUAGUUCCAUUAAAACUCUAAUUACUAACAGUGAUUUAAUAAAACCUGUAUGUGUUUUCUAAGCAGCCUUUUAGGAUCCUGUAAUAAAUGCCUUAACAGAGCAGUAAAUUUAGCUAAGUAUUAAUUAAUCAGUAAUCAUUUUCUAUCAAGCAAACAAUAGUUGUAGACUUUGAAAGAGCAAAGGUUCUUUGUGUCUGUGUGUACCUGUAACACAUGUAGGAAGCCUCCAGAGACAGAACAGCUAAAACAUACGGACUAAAGAAGAGGGGGAUAUUUAACUGUAAGGGCUGGAUUUCGAUACAGCUGAGGAGGAAGUACAACUUCUCCCCUUCCCUCAGAUACUUCUCUGUCCGUGGGCAUACGACUCAAUCCAAUCCUGCACUGGGUGCAAGAGGAGCAGGCUGCUUGACCCAGUGCCCCUCCAUGAAGGGGUAUAAAUGUUGCGGAGUGGCAUUAUGUUGGCUGCCCUGAGCAAGCCUGAUCCUCCAGCAAAGCCUGGUCUCUGCAGAGGGAUGAAGUUAAAAAGGAGCCUAAUAAAUGCUCGUGCCUUUACCAACAGUUGCAGGCUCCCAGGUGAAGGGUAUGGCUACUACACCGUCAGUAGUGGGGUCGCAGAGGAUCACAACUGUAAUAACAAUGGGAAAUCUGACAGCUGACUUAGGAGCAGGUCUUUAUUCAUAAAAAGGAUGGCUAUAAAUAACAUUCCAACAAUGAAGAUAUGCUGGGUAGUAUUUUUCCAUGCUGGAUGAGAUAGAUUAAAACGUGAACACGCAAUGAUUUGCCUAGCACAUGGUGCUAAGAAAAAUAGUUACUGCAUUGAUGAGAACAAUAAGGGAAUUUGUUGCAUUUUUGGACUUCCUAGUUCAGCAAUCUCUGUGGAGCUAUCUAAGCAAGGUGCAUGCUGAGCACGUAGAGAGACAGGGGGGCGUGAACACAGCAGUGUCAGGUGCCAGCCUUCAAGGGCAUGUACAAGGCGUUUUAUUCUUGGGCUUUUCUAUUUAUUUUUUUUUCCAGGGGUGGUCUUCAGUGAGGGAGUUUAACCAAAGCUCUUGCAUGAAUUGUUUUCACCCUACCCGUGUUGAGCUGCCUGAAAGCUAAGAGCUUUCUAGAACCCUUCUGUUUAAGGCUGAAAUAUCUGAGGAUUAAACAUUUUGAUCUUGAAA